rnacentral:misc_RNA from 1 species
AUCAAUGAGGAUCGCCAUGGUGAUGAUUAAUUAGAUAGUAAUUAAUAUUAAUAUAUAGAAAAAGAAAAAAUAACAAUAAUUGAAGAGAGUGAAUUGCAUUUUCUUUGUUGCUUUCUCCAUGGAACAUAUGUUUUUAGAUCAUGGAGGAGUGACCAAGGAAUUAGAUUCUGGUUUUGUUUUGUGUUUCCUUCCUCAUGAAAACAUGCAUCUGAUGCUGACAUGAACUGCUGGGG